AAAAUGUGAAGUCAAGGACGUUGGUGUCCAGACAGAGGUUUCCUGCCCUCCCAACUCGCUGCUGUUUUUCUGCACGAAAAAGGUGACCUUAGAUGAUGAGCCGCGUUGUCCUGAAGUCAAUGAGAGAGAUGAGCCACUUUCCAGGCCGUGUACCCCAGCAGGUCACGGUGGGAGCCAGGGGGCCAUGCUAAGAGACCACGUCACACACUGCUGACUAACAUACGAUGACGAGUUCGUCAAUGAUGAGCAGCGGCAGAGAACAGCUUACCUGCUGUUCUAUGAAAAACAGAAAUGGAGUGAGAAGUGACACCUUGUAGACAACAAGACCACUGCUGAACCGAUAGGAGGGACCACAAAAUGACAGCGAUUGCAGAUCCUUUACCGGACAGCGUAACCAGAGCAUUACCAGAGAGCAUUAAGGGGCAGAGAGGAGGAUGUUACUCUCCAUGUUGU